CCUACGGGAGGCAGCAGUGGGGAAUCUUGCACAAUGGGCGAAAGCCUGAUGCAGCGACGCCGCGUGCGGGAUGAAGGCCCUAUGGGUUGUAAACCGCUUUCAGCAGGGAAGAGGCCGCAAGGUGACGGUACCUGCAGAAGAAGCCCCGGCUAACUACGUGCCAGCAGCCGCGGUAAUACGUAGGGGGCAAGCGUUAUCCGGAUUCAUUGGGCGUAAAGCGCUCGUAGGCGGCUUGUUAGGUCGGGAGUCAAAUCCCGGGGCUCAACCCCGGCACGCUUCCGAUACAGGCAGGCUUGAGUUUGGUAGGGGAAAGUGGAAUUCCAAGUGUAGCGGUGGAAUGCGCAGAUAUUUGGAAGAACACCAGUGGGGAAGGCGGCUUUCUGGGCCAUAACUGACGCUGAGGAGCGAAAGCUAGGGGAGCAAACAGGAUUAGAUACCCUGGUAGUCCUAGCCGUAAACGAUGGACACUAGGUGUGGGGGAAUAUUUCGUGCCGUGAAGC
rnacentral:rRNA from 1 species